rnacentral:rRNA from 1 species
AACGAACGCUGGCGGCAUGCCUAACACGUGCAAGUCGAACGAGACCUUCAGGUCUAGUGGCGCACGGGUGCGUAACGCGUGGGAACCUGCCCUUAGGUUCGGAAUAACUCCCCGAAAGGGGUGCUAAUACCGGAUAAUGUCUUCGGACCAAAGAUUUAUCGCCUUUGGAUGGGCCCGCGUUGGAUUAGCUAGUUGGUAGGGUAAAAGCCUACCAAGGCGACGAUCCAUAGCUGGUCUGAGAGGAUGAUCAGCCACACUGGGACUGAGACACGGCCCAGACUCCUACGGGAGGCAGCAGUGGGGAAUAUUGGACAAUGGGCGAAAGCCUGAUCCAGCAAUGCCGCGUGAGUGAUGAAGGCCUUAGGGUUGUAAAGCUCUUUUACCCGGGAUGAUAAUGACAGUACCGGGAGAAUAAGCUCCGGCUAACUCCGUG